rnacentral:rRNA from 1 species
AAUGGCGUAAUGAUGGCCAGGCUGUCUCCACCCGAGACUCAGUGAAAUUGAACUCGCUGUGAAGAUGCAGUGUACCCGCGGCAAGACGGAAAGACCCCGUGAACCUUUACUAUAGCUUGACACUGAACAUUGAGCCUUGAUGUGUAGGAUAGGUGGGAGGCUUUGAAGUGUGGACGCCAGUCUGCAUGGAGCCGACCUUGAAAUACCACCCUUUAAUGUUUGAUGUUCUAACGUGGACCCGUUACCCGGGUUGCGGACAGUGUCUGGUGGGUAGUUUGACUGGGGCGGUCUCCUCCUAAAGAGUAACGGAGGAGCACGAAGGUUGGCUAAUCCUGGUCGGACAUCAGGAGGUUAGUGCAAUGGCAUAAGCCAGCUUGACUGCGAGCGUGACGGCGCGAGCAGGUGCGAAAGCAGGUCAUAGUGAUCCGGUGGUUCUGAAUGGAAGGGCCAUCGCUCAACGGAUAAAAGGUACUCCGGGGAUAACAGGCUGAUACCGCCCAAGAGUUCAUAUCGACGGCGGUGUUUGGCACCUCGAUGUCGGCUCAUCACAUCCUGGGGCUGAAGUAGGUCCCAAGGGUAUGGCUGUUCGCCAUUUAAAGUGGUACGCGAGCUGGGUUUAGAACGUCGUGAGACAGUUCGGUCCCUAUCUGCCGUGGGCGCUGGAGAACUGAGGGGGGCUGCUCCUAGUACGAGAGGACCGGAGUGGACGCAUCACUGGUGUUCGGGUUGUCAUGCCAAUGGCACUGCCCGGUAGCUAAAUGCGGAAGAGAUAAGUGCUGAAAGCAUCUAAGCACGAAACUUGCCCCGAGAUGAGUUCUCCCUGAGACUUAGAGUCUCCUGAAGGAACGUUGAAGACGACGACGUUGAUAGGCCGGGUGUGUAAGCGCAGCGAUGCGUUGAGCUAACCGGUACUAAUGAACCGUGAGGCUUAACCUUACA